rnacentral:lncRNA from 1 species
GCGGGCGGGCGGCGUGCGCGUGUGCGGGAGGGGGCGCGUGGGGGCGCGGGAGGGGCCUCGGCCCUGCCAUGCCGGUCUCCGCCCGCGGGGGAGGAGACGGGGGAGGAGGAGGGGAGCAGCCGGCCGGGGCGACUCGGUGACCAGCCGGCCGGCCCCGCAGAGGUGGCUGCACUGCCCGCCGCCGGAGAUGGGGGGACAGAUCACCCGGAGCACUCUCCACGACUCUAUCGGGGGCCCCUUCCCCGUCACUUCUCACCGAUGCCACCACAAGCAGAAGCACUGUCCGGCGGUGCUGCCCAGCGGGGGGCUCCCAGCCACACCGCUGCUCUUCCACCCGCACACCAAGGGCUCCCAGAUCCUCAUGGACCUCAGCCACAAGGCUGUCAAGAGGCAGGCCAGCUUCUGCAACGCCAUCACCUUCAGCAACCGCCCGGUCCUCAUCUACGAGCAAGUCAGGCUGAAGAUCACCAAGAAGCAGUGCUGCUGGAGCGGGGCCCUGCGGCUGGGCUUCACUAGCAAGGACCCGUCCCGCAUCCACCCUGACUCGCUGCCCAAGUACGCCUGCCCCGACCUGGUGUCCCAGAGUGGCUUCUGGGCCAAGGCGCUGCCUGAGGAGUUUGCCAAUGAGGGCAACAUCAAAG